ACUCGACCUUGGCCUCCAGCAAUCGCGACAGCUAAAAACGGGUGUCUCGCUUCGACAAUAGAUCCCCGCGGACCUUCUGGCACCUGGUUCACUAGCGCCCGCGAACUCUGCCUCGGGAGACUUAUUGAAAUCCGGAUGCUCAAGCCGGGAGGCGCGCAGUAACCAGGAGGAUGAGAGGGCCGGGUUUGGGCUAGGAAAGCGGCCUUUUAAAACAGAUGUCAGGGGGACUGCAGCCCCGAGCCAUGAGAAAAAAGUUAAAGGCGAGAUGACACGCACUGAAUUGGGGCAAACAUUGGAAGAGGAGACAAAACUGCGUGCUUGAGCACCGGGGUGCGGGGAGGGGGGGACAAAACCCGUAUCCAGUGCAAAUUAAAAUCUUGGGAGUAGGUGG
rnacentral:lncRNA from 1 species